rnacentral:rRNA from 1 species
GAUCAAGCUAAUAAGGGUACAUGGUGGAUGCCUUGGCAUCAGGAAGCGAUGAAGGACGCAGUAGGCUGCGAUAUCCUCGGUUAGCUGUCAAACAAGCUUUGAUCCGGGGGUUUCCGAAUGGGGCAACCCGUUAUGGCUGGGCAACCAGACCGUUUCACUUCCGGCUGAAUGUAUAGGCCGGAUAGAGCUAACGCAGGGAACUGAAACAUCUAAGUACCUGCAGGAAAGGAAAUCAAACGAGACUCCGUAAGUAGCGGCGAGCGAAAGCGGACAUAGCCCAAACCAGGAUUCGUCCUGGGGUUGCGGACUGUUGAGGAGUUACAAAAGUUAGGAUAGCGGAAGUGUCUGGAAAGUCACACCACAGACGGUGAUAGUCCCGUAUGCGAAAUCCAAAACUCUCCUUUGAGACAGUAUCCAGAGUAGCACGAUGCUCGUGAAACUUCGUGUGAAGCUGGGGGGUCCACCCUCCAAGGCUAAGUAUUCCCUGAUGACCAAUAGUAAACCAGUAAUGUGAAUGAAUGGUGAAAAGUACCCCUACAAGGGGAGUGAUAAGUACCUGAAACCAUGUACCUACAAGCAGUAGGAGCCCUAUAUCUCUUCGGAGAAACGGGUGACUGCGUGCCUUUUGCAUAAUGAACCGGCGAGUUAUUGUUUGUGGCAAGGAUAAGUUGUUAAGCAAUGCAUCCGCAGCGAAAGCGAGUCUGAAUAGGGCGAAUGAGUCGCAGGCAAUAGACGCGAAACCAAGUGAUCUACCCAUGGCCAGGUUGAAGGAAAAGUAAAAUUUUCUGGAGGACCGAACCCACUAACGUUGAAAAGUUAGGGGAUGAGCUGUGGGGAGGAGUAAAAGUCUAAUCAAACUUGGAGAUAGCUCGUUCUCGGCGAAAUAGCUUUAGGGCUAGCCUCAUGUUACUAUGUUAUAGGGGUAGAGCUACUGAAUGGGAAUGGAGGGCUACCCGCCUAUCCAUCUCAAUCAAACUCCGAAUACUAUAAUAAUUAUCAUGGGAGUCAGACUACGGGGGAUAAUCUCCGUGGUCAAAAGGGAAACAGCCCAGAUCGCCGGCUAAGGUCCCCAAACUCAACUAAGUUACUAAGGAUGUUUAAUUGCAGUGACAGCCAGGAUGUUGGCUUAGAAGCAGCCACCAUUUAAAAAGUGCGUAAUAGCUUACUGGUCGAGCGAUUGAGCGCCGAUAAUGAACGGGAAUAAGUUGAGCACCGAAGCCGCGGAUUUGUUUAUUCUACGGAAUAAACAAGUGGUAGCCGAGCGUAGUAUACCGCACAGAAGCGAUACAGUAAUGAGUCGUGGAGCGUAUACUAGUGAUUAUGCCGGUAUGAGUAACGAUAAAGCAGGUGAAAAUCCUGCUCGCCGAAAACCUAAGGUUUCCUGGGGAAGGUAAAUCCGCCCAGGGUUAGUCGGUCCCUUAGUCGAGGCUGAAAGGCGUAGACGAUGGACAGCAGGUUAAUAUUCCUGCACUAUGUAUGUGGACGAAAGCAGUGACGCAUUCUCUAAGGUGAUCCCAUGAUUAGUCGUGUGGGUUUCGCAAGAUCGAGGGCAUUUUGUUCCCGAAGUUGCUAGCGAGAGUGCCGAGAAAUAGCUGCCGUAGGUUGAUGCAUGCGUAACCGUACUAAAACUGACACAGGUAGGUGAGGAGAAUAUCCUAAGGCGCUCGAGAGAACCGUUGUUAAGGAAUUAGGCAAAUUGACCCCGUAAGUUCGCGAUAAGGGGACCCUCCAGCUAUAUUUAUUCGUAAGUGUAGGCUGAGGGCACAGAAAAGUGGCUCUGGCGACUGUUUAUCAAAAACACAGUUCUGUGCUAACUCGUAAAGAGGAUGUAUACAGAAUGACGCCUGCUCGGUGCCGGAAGGUCAAUGAAGUAGGUUAUCCCUUCGGGGAGAAGCUUGCAACUCAAGCCCCGGUAAACGGCGGCCGUAACUAUGACGGUCCUAAGGUAGCGAAGUUCCUUGUCGGGUAAGUUCCGACGUGCAUGAACGGCGUAACGACUGGAGCACUGUCUCAACAACGGACUCGGUGAAAUUGUAGUAGUGGUGAAGAUACCACUUACCCGCAGCAAGACGGAAAGACCCCGUGAACCUUUACUGUAGCCUGGUAUUGAUGCCUGAUAUGGCAUGCGUAGGAUAGGUGGGAGAUUUUGAUCCGGCAUCUCAGGAUGUCGGGGAGUCAUCCUUGAAAUACCACCCUUGGCAUGUUAGUCAUCUAACCGCGACCCUUGAAUCAGGGCGUGGGACCGUGCUUGGUGGGCAGUUUGACUGGGGCGGUCUCCUCCUAAAGAGUAACGGAGGAGUUCAAAGGUACGCUCAGUAUGGUUGGCAAUCAUACGCAGAGUGCAAAGGCAUAAGCGUGCUUAACUGCGAGACAUAUAGGUCAAGCAGAUACGAAAGUAGGACUUAGUGAUCCGGCGGUUCCGUGUGGAAGGGCCGUCGCUCAACAGAUAAAAGGUACUCCGGGGAUAACAGGCUGAUCGCUCCCGAGCGUCCAUAGCGGCGGAGCGGUUUGGCACCUCGAUGUCGGCUCAUCACAUCCUGGGGCUGUAGGCGGUCCCAAGGGUUCGGCUGUUCGCCGAUUAAAGUGGUACGCGAGCUGGGUUCAGACCGGCGUGAGCCAGGUCGGUCCCUAUCUGCUGUGGGCGUAAGAAUCUUGCGAAGAAUCAUUCCUAGUACGAGAGGACUCGAAUGGACUAACCUCUGGUGUUCCAGUUGUCGCGCUAGCGGCACGGCUGGGUAGCUAAGUUGGGAACGGAUAACCGCUGAAUGCAUCUAAGUGGGAAGCCUCCUUCAAGAUCAGGAUUCUAUGUCUAUCGACGUGAGCUCCCUUGUAGACCACGAGGUUGAUAGGCUGGGGGUGUAAGACGCGAAAUCGUCUAAGCUGACCAGUACUAACGAGCAAUCGCUUGAUCAC